CGAUCUUUUUCCUCUUCUCUCUUUCCGCCUCUUUCUUUCUUCAGCCUUCCUCUAUGCACGAGUCCUCAGUAUCGGCUCUGUCGGUGCGUCCGCGACAGCCGCGUUCAUGUGCGUCGCGAGUGGCCCGAUAGUGAAUGACACGUAGCGGAGGACGCAUCCUCUCGCGGGUGUGAUCGCGAGGGAAAAGGAAGAGGAAAAAAAGGAGGAGAAGAGAGGUUCGCGCGCGCAGUUCGCACACCUGGCGAGCUGAUAUGGCCGGUGAUCGGCUCGUUUUCUUCGCUAUGAUCCGCCGGCUAUGCUCUCGCGAGUGCUGUCCUCGAGUGCGGCGGUCACGCCGGGAGUGAAUAAUAGAAGGGAGAAUGUUGGACACUAUUAGGCCGUCGGCUCCGAUGACCGCAACGGUGGCGCGAGGCUUAGGUGAACGCAGCCCUCUCAACAAUCGACAAUCAAUCUCGUGUUCCGAGCUGGCUCUCGUGUCAAGAAUAUCGUCCACCGUGAAGGCACGCGACGCGUGACGCCCAGGUGCGAAUUAUACCUGCCGCGGUAAACAAACAACGCGCUGCUCUCGUCGGCUUUUCCAAAGCGACACGAGCGCUAAUCUCCAACGCAAAUGCAGACGAGUCGAGUAACGUCUCCCCCGAGCCAGCGCGAGUCGAAUGCUGCUCGCUCGAAUGCGUGAGCUCGUAACGCGCGAUAUCGAGCGCAGGCAUCCUCCAGGCAGCCGCACGGAUGCGAUUUUUCAACGUGCCGAAGCUCCGGAAAGUGCUUGAGAGACCGAGCGAGUGUGUGUGUGUGUGUAUGUGUGUGUGUGUGCUCGAGGUGACAGUCGCGCGUCGUUCGGCGCGUCGCGGGGCCCGAAGAGACCGAGAAAGCCGAGCGAGCCGAGACUAAAUAGCAGCGUCGAACAGUGCAGAAUUAAUGACGCGCAAUUAACCGGAGCGUAAUCACGUUCGCGAGGUGCUGCUCGCGCGACAUCAUAGAUCAACCGCUCGAUAUAAUUUUCCAAACCGAUCCGAUUGUCAUCCCCCUGCGCGGAAAUGAGGAGCGGUCCGGCGCGAGGAGGCGGAGGAACGAGAGGACCAAGAACCGCGCUCACGCUCGGCCUGGCAUGAGACUCGCCAGCGUGCGACGCGAUUUCGCUUCGGAGAAGCGAACGACGGCGAGGCCGCGAGGAGGCGCGAUUCAUCGCGCGCGCGAACUGCUUCGUACACGCCAGCGCGACUGAACGAAGCGCGAUAAUAAUCGGGCGAUAAUAACGAUAAAUACGCGCGCCGCCGCGUCGGGGAGUCCGCGGGGGUUGCUGGCGAUGGGGAGGCGCGGGCGGGCGGCGGAAUCGCCCCGCGGGCGGAAAGGUGCGAGCGUGUCCGCUUCUCCGGCGAUUUCCCGCCUCGCGGCUCGUUCGCGGGCGUCCGCUCCGCGCGCAGCGAAUUAAGGAUCUCCGCGAGGGUCUCACACCACGCGAGCGAAUAGCCGCAGGGGAAGGGAGAGGGGAAGUUCGCGUGCGAUGGCUCCGAGGGAAACCCGCGCGAGAGGAACGCCGUUGGUGGUGCGUUAACGGCGAUCUAGCGCGGCCGGACCGAGUCCUGUUGUGCGGGAUUCCGAGCGCGCGCGCCCCGCGACGGUGGAUUAAGUAAGCCCGUCUCGCGCGACCAGCAUGUCGCAUCGGGCUUUUUCAUUGGCGAGGCGGCCGCUUCUCUGAGACAAAAGGAAGCCCCAGUCGGAAGCUCGGCUGCUCGGCCGAUGCUCGUGAAUCCGCUGCUCGGUUAUUUCGACGAAGAGUAGACUCGAUCUCGUGCGCGCGGAAUCAUGAAGACCGCGCGGCGUCAUCGCGGCGGACCUUGACCGAGGGUGAGCCGAUAAUCGUCUCGUUAGCCCGACACGCUAGCGCGAGGCGAUGUGAGACCAAACGUCGCAUGAUAAUGAGGAUCAACGGAGCAAGGAUCGCGCUCAGGAGCCGAGGUGUUCACUGACGAGAGAGAGAGAGAGAGAGAGAGAGAGAGAGAGAGAGAGAGAGAGAGAGAGCCCAGGGCGCACGCUCCGCUGCGGGAGAGAGAAACGCUGAGACUUCUUCGACAAUGCGUGCGAGUUAUGCGAAUACGAGUAACCGGCAAUCGAGCGUUUCGCACGGAGAGGGCUGCAAGCGCGCUUCCGGCAGCGUUCUCGGAUUGUCAAGGUAACGAAGUGCGACGGGGAAUCUCUGUCAUGGUAUCUGAGAGGUAAAUCUAUACGUCGAGAGCGACGACCUAAGGACGAGUCGAGCGUGGCUCGAGUCGGCGAGUUAGCGCGCGGUACGUUAAAUGUGUCGCGACGAGGAUCGUUGAUGGCCGUUCGAUAUCGCUUCGAUUCGUCGUGUGACUUUCAGUGUGCGAGCCUGCGAGUCAGUAUACGUGAGGUAAUAAGAGAGAAAGAGAGGGAGAGAGGCGGAGAGGGAGGAAGACAAUUUCCGCGGCAAUCCGCGAAUUAGAUCGUUUUGUCGCGACGAGAGCUCGGAAAAAGGGAGGAGGAAUCAACGUCGAGGACGUUGAGAAUUUCACUCGCUCGUGUACUGAGGAACGCAGAGGAGCGUGUUGGACCGCUUCGCGACGGCAGGAUUACGCUGCACUGCACGUGCUGUUUUUAAUAAAGGAUCUCCACGAAGCAGAAGAAGAAGCAGUAUAUCCGAGACUCGCGGCAUAUCGUAUUGUAGAUAUCGCGCAUGGUAGAAUCUCACAAAACAUAUCCAAUUAUAUGAGCGCAGCGAGAGAGAGAGAAAAGGGGGAGUGUAAUCUCCAUCCAGUCGGACGGAGAGCACGCUGACGCCGUUCGCGACGAGUCGCGCAAGCCUUGCAGAGGACAAUCUUUUGAGUACUAGAAUUUAUACUAAGGCGUGAAAGAGAGAGAGAGAGAGAGAGAGAGAGAGAGAGAGAGAGAGAGAGAGAUCGAAUCGAAAGUAUGAGACCCGCGCCCUCGGCCGGAAAUGGAAUCGCGAGGCGCCACGUUGACGAGCCUAAACACGAGACAAACGAGCGAGCCCCGCGAUUCCCGCAGGAAUUAAAUGAACGAUCCGAGUUCCGGCGGCCGGCUGGUCGCGCGUCGCUUUUAAGGAAGCAGCUAAGAAGCUGCAGAGCACUCCACGCGAUAGAAGCGCACUAGAGGUCCCCGUAGGUUGGCGACACCCACCAACAACAACCGGCCGCGUCUCCGGAGCACGAAGGGCACUCACGUCCGCACUCAUGUCGAGACUGUAUUUCGUCGCGUCGAGCAGCGGCGACUCGGAGAGCCAACAAAGGAAAUAGUACAUCGAGUCGUCGU